rnacentral:rRNA from 1 species
AACGAACGCUGGCGGCGGGCCUCAUACAUGCAAGUCGAGCGUGAAAGUCCGCAAGGAUGAGUAAAGCGGCGCACGGGUGAGUAACACGUGGAUAAUCUACCCUUUGGAUUGGAAUAACCUGUCGAAAGACGGGCUAAUGCCAAGUAAGCUCUCUAGAACGUGAGGUUCUGGCGAGGAAAGGUGGCGCAAGCUACCGCCGAUGGAUGAGUCUGCGUCCCAUUAGUUAGUUGGUGGGGUAAAAGCUUACCAAGACAAUGAUGGGUACCUGGUCUGAGAGGAUGAUCAGGCACACUGGAACUGAAACACGGUCCAGACUCCUACGGGAGGCAGCAGUAGGGAAUAUUGCGCAAUGGACGAAAGUCUGACGCAGCCACGCCGCGUGAGUGAGGAAGGCCUUCGGGUUGUAAAGCUCUGUCAACAGGGAAAAACAGAUAAGAGGGGAAAGUUCUCUUAUUUUGAUGGUACCUGUGGAGGAAGCACCGGCAAACUCUGUG